rnacentral:lncRNA from 1 species
GGCGUAGAGGAACCGCGCAGCGCGUUGGAAACUCUUUGCUCUUCGGCUGCUCCGUUGCCCAGGUAAGAAGGUUUUUCGCAGUUCUCGUGCUAGGGUGAUGAAAACCAAAAAGAUUGUGAGCUGCUCCAAAGAGAUCUCUCCAAGCUGGGAAUCAAAAUGACAAAUGCAGUCCAGCGUAAGCAAGCGUAGAGUAAUGCACGUUGGGGGAAAACAAUCCCAACUACGGGAAUAACGCUGAUCUAGCAGUGACAGAGCAGGAAAGGGUUCUUGGGGGAGAGGGGCGGGCAGCUCGAUGAAAAUAUCGGCCCAGCGUGCAGCUGCUACGAAGAAGACAAACUGCAUGCUAGGCAUAACUAGGAACGGAGUAGAAAAUAAAACUGCCAAGAUCGUACUCCCCUUAUAGAAAUCUUUGCUGCAACCACACUUGGAAUAUUGUGUACAGUUCCGGUUGCCUGACCUGAAAAAGUCCAUGGCUGAGUUGGAAAAAGUGCAGAGAAAGGCAACCAGAACGAUCCAGGGGCUGGAGCAGCUCCCCUAUGAGGAGCAACUUCAACUGGGAUGGUUAGCUUAGAAAAGGGGCAAGAAGGGGAGGCAUGAUGGAGAAGUUUAAAAUGAUGCGUGGUGUAGAGAAAACGGAGAGGGAGACAUUUUUGCUCCCUCUUCCUUAACACUCGAACCCGGAAUCAUCCCGUGAAGCUGAUCGGAGGGAGAUUUACGACAGAUCGAAGGAAGGAUUUCUGCACGGAGCACCUGAUUCGACUAUGGAAUUGGCUGCCAUGGGAAGUGGUGUCGACCGCCAUUCUGGAGGGCGUUCAAAGGGAUUGCUGUCAGUCGUUCCUAACCUUAUCAGAAGCAGCAACCCACUUGGUGAAGAGCUCUGAGGGAUCCUGCUUCCCACCGUGGGAAUGGAGUGUGAUCCUGCAUGGCUUUUCUUAUGUUUUAGCACUUAUUUCCUCACAGGUUGCAGAAAGGCUUCCUGUGUUGCCACCAGAUCCUCUCGUGCUUUUGGUAGAAGACUCAUGGCUGCAGCAGACCCAGCUCAGGUAAGGCUGGGGAGAAGCAGGUAGGGAAGGCUUGGCUGCCACCUUAUGCUGGUCCAUGGCUGGCCCCCGGUUCAACGGAACAAUCCGUGAGCUCCAGUGGAUGGAUGGCGGGACUGCAUUAGUGCAUUUCUAUGUUGCCCAACAGCCAGAACCCUCAAAACCUAAAAUGCAACAGAAUAAAACAUAGCAUAGGGCUUCCUGGGAGGGUGGG